UACGUAGGAUGCAAGCGUUGUCCGGAAUUAUUGGGCGUAAAGAGCGAGCAGGCGGUUUGGAAAGGUGGACGUGAAAUUUUAGGGCUUAACCCUAAAGGGUCGUCCAAAACUCCCAGACUAGAGUGCAGGAGAGGAAAGCGGAAUUCCCGGUGUAGUGGUGAAAUGCGUAGAUAUCGGGAGGAACACCAGAGGCGAAGGCGGCUUUCUGGCCUGUAACUGACGCUGAGGCGCGAAGGCUGGGGUAGCGAACAGG
rnacentral:rRNA from 1 species